rnacentral:lncRNA from 1 species
ACGUGGGUGGCACUGUGUGGUUGACAUAGGGCCUGAAGGUGGGUGACAGAUGUUAUGGAGGAGAAUGUAUUUUAUUUUAUUUUUUGAGGGGGGAGACAGAGUCUCGCUCUGUCGGAAGCCUGCACAGGAACGUGCAACUGGGGCUCCAUUUAAAAACAGAAAAGAAAUGAGAUGUUAUUUUUGAAGCAGUCAACUCGUGGAAAUGAUUACAAGUCAUUUGGCAAACCCAAAGUCCCCUUGAAAUUCUUAUUUAUUAUUAGUUCCAGUUAAUAUUUCUGCUGAUAGACCUGCAGUGAACAAAAGCACAGAUUGUAAGGCAGGCCAAAUACUGGCAUUGGGAAUGGCAUAGUUGUCACCCCAAGUUAUGCAUUUGAAAUAGCUCAGCCUCAUGGCAGCCAGUACAGGCCAAUUUAUUUUAACGUUUUAUAUACACAUAUGUGUUUGUAUGUAUAUGCAUAUAUAUGUGUAUACAU